UACGUAGGGUGCAAGCGUUAAUCGGAAUUACUGGGCGUAAAGCGUGCGCAGGCGGUUAUGUAAGACAGAUGUGAAAUGCCCGGGCUUAACCUGGGAACUGCAUUUGUGACUGCAUGGCUAGAGUGUGUCAGAGGGGGGUAGAAUUCCACGUGUAGCAGUGAAAUGCGUAGAUAUGUGGAGGAAUACCGAUGGCGAAGGCGGCAUCCUGGACCGGCAUUGACGCUGAGGCGCGAAAGCCAGGGGAGCAAACGGG
rnacentral:rRNA from 1 species